rnacentral:misc_RNA from 1 species
CGCAGAUUGCCCCUAGUGGAACAUCCUGGACUUCGACAUCCUGGCUUUUCGAAAGAAACCCGUACGAAAACAAACCAACGAGGUUGAUUUUGAAAGCUAGAAGUUUCACGUGUUAGACAGCAAAGUACAAGAGAGGUGAUGGAGACUGAUUCAAAUACAGUCACACAAGUUGGGGAAAUCGGUGAAGAAAGUACACACGAGGAACAUUUGGAACAAGUUCCAUAUGAAAUUGUUGAAGAAAAUAAUGAAGUAGAACAAGAGCUUGAUCAAGAGAGUGUUGUUGUCGAAGGGGACAGUGUUGAACAUGGCAAUGAAGAGAUGAAUAAUAAAGAGAUCACUGUUGCUGUUGUCAAUGAUAAUAUUCCAGAAAGUGAGGACCAUAAUGCACUUAUCAACACAGAAACAUAUGAGGCUAGUGGAUCAGAGGUUACAGGAAAAGAAACUGUUCGUCCUACUGUGUUGAUUCUGUCUCCUGAUGGUAAAGUCACUGUCACUGCUGUAGAAGACACAAAUGGAGGGGAAGUUGGUGAACCAUCAGCUAAAAGAUACAAACUGGAGCAGGAUGGCAACACAUACGUCUUUUCAGUACCUGAUGGCACUACUGAAGAAGCCUUGAAGGAGCAUCUGUCUAUUGGACAACAUAACACAGUAACUAACACCAACACCAAUAUCUGUGUCAACAGGACAUCACAAGCCAUUGGAGAGAAAACUGAUAUCACACAGGCGUGGUUUACCACCAGGGAUGAUAAAAAUGUACUCCAUAAAAAAGGGCAUGACUGGAAGCAGGGACAGUGGUCAAAAGAAGAGAUUGAGAUUUUGAAGUGUAAUAUAUCACAAUAUUGUGAGGCCAGAGGUAUUACAGACCCCACUGAGAUCAUAUUUGAGAUGUCAAAAGAUGAGCGAAAAGAUUUCUAUCGCACAGUAUCAAGAAACCUACAGCGCCCUCUGUUCUCUGUGUACAGGAGAGUCAUCAGAAUGUAUGAUCAGAAGAACCAUAUGGGGAAGUAUACCCCUCAGGAACUCCAAAAACUUAAGGAGUUGAGACAAAAACUUGGCAAUGACUGGGCCAGUAUAGGGGCAGAGCUUGGCAGGAGUGCUGCCUCUGUCAAAGAUAGAUGUCGCCUUAUGAAAGAUACAUGUAACUCUGGGAAGUGGCUUCCAGAAGAGGAGAAUCGGCUUACACUUGCAGUACAAGAGUUGACUGGCUUAGAACCAGGUGUAAAUGUGACCAGUGGUCUAUCAUGGGCAAGUGUUGCGGAGAGAGUGGGAACUAGAUCAGAGAAACAGUGCCGCACAAAGUGGUUGAACUAUCUUAACUGGAGACAGAAUGGGGGAACAGAAUGGACAAGGGAUGAUGAUAUACAGUUAAUUACAAGGUUAGCUGACACUGGGGCUGCUGAUGAGAAUGAGGUGGACUGGACAGCAUUAGCUAAGGACUGGCCUAGUGCCAGGUCUCCACAGUGGCUGAGGGGAAAGUGGUGGACACUUAAGAGACAUGUCUUAGAUAAAGAUCUCAUAUCAUUUCAAGACCUUGUGGCAUAUUUGCGGGACACAAAUGCGCAAACUAUACGAAUGCGACCACCUCCCAAUAUCCUACUUGCAAGAAUGGAAACACCUCGAGUCAGUGUCAUGCAGAAUAUGUCAUUCACAGUGCCCUCUUCGUAUGCAACCUCUGCUAUUGGUCACAGUGUCGUCAAUGUAGAUGGCUCCACUAAUCUGGUAUCUACCUCCGUAGAAGACAACCCUGGGGGUUUCCAUGCCUAUGAGGUACUUUCCCAAUUGCCAGGAACAACUAGCGGAGCUUAUCUGAUAGCUCAACAGACCAACUCUAGUCAGGCGAUACAGCUCAGUAGUAGCACAGUGGGGUCAGACCAUAUCAUUGUGCACACAUUGCCCAUAACAUCUGAACAGGAUGCUGGCAUGCAGAGCAGUGAGAAUGUGACUGUUGAGAUAAACCAGACUGGCCAAGUACCUGUCAUUCUAACAGAGGAACAAGACAACACUGCCACAGCACAGCAUCUAGCCAAUCAGGAGAUUGCCAAUUUAGAGGCAGGAGAGGAAGACGAAGCAACGCCUGAAGAUGAGACAGAUGGGAGAAACCAAUCAAGGGUGUCAUUUACAGAAGCUAAUGGAGACCAGGCAGCACUAGUUGAGGGUACUGUUAGUGAGGAGCUUGUACACACAUCAGCCAGGUACAGAAGAUCCACCAGCAGUGAUGGAGAUUUGCUGCAUAAAAUGGCAACUCUCAAAGAUCCAAUGUUACCCUCAGAGAGCGAGCUGAUUGGCCAGUCAUCAGAUGUGGAGGUCGAAAAAUCCCAGCAGCAAGAGACCCAAGAAUAAAAUAUCAUAAGUGACAUGAAACCAACAUAAGUGACAUCUUUGAAUCAAAUGAUGUUAAUUAUAGUUCAGUUAUAUACUUGCAGUGUGGAAAUCCCAGAAUCUAACACAUGGUUUAUUGACUAGUGCUGAGAUCCUCUCUCCAGACACCUGUAUCAUGAUAAAUACCUUUAGACAGUUUAACAAUAGGUGUAUAUUGUAUUGUAUUGUAUUUUGUUAACCACUAAUGCUGGUGAGCAAUACCUCUAGGGUAUAUCCUGUAUAAACAUGUACGGUUGUAAUUGUAAAUGAAUGCAAUCAUGAAAAGCAGACCCAGGAACUCCUCCUUGAAGAGCCCUGUGUUCUUUUAUGUGCACUCAUACAUACAUGUAGUCAUACAAGUAUACACCACAGUCUUUUGUACGUGUUGUGGAUCACUCAAGUCAAACACUCUAGAGAACUUUACGAAAACAAGCAAAUUAAGUCUUGUCUGAACCAGGGAUUGAAUCUAGGAUAUACAUGUAUUAUUAUAUUAUUUAGACCUUUUAUACAAGGUGUCUCAAAAAAGGAAACCAAGAUUAAAUCGCUAAUUUCUCAAAGAUGAAUAAUGUUAGGGGAAAUUUGCAGGUACCUUCACUGGUGUAGCAUUGGUAUUUUGUUAGUGUACACCAUGAGUGAGCGAAGUGAACGAGCUUUGAGUUGGGUUUGGGGGGUUCUCUCCCCCAAGGCAAUUUAACUGAAAUGAAAUUGCGUUUGAAGCAUUCUGGGAAAUUCGACUAAUAUGGACUAAAACUGUACAAUGUAUCAUUUUGCUUUUCAUAUACAUGUAUUGUUACUUCAUGUAUUCAGAAUAUCCAGAAUUUUAAAGUCACAGUGGUUCAAUUUCCAUAGUACCCUUAUGUAUCUGAUAGUUAUAUAAAUUCAAAUAUGUCCAUAUUAUCUGACCAAUAUAAGAUAUUUCACUUUUUAUCGCACCCUAAGGUGCUAUAUUGUAAUCAGUUUGCCGGGCGGUUGGGCGGGCAGGCGGCUGGGCCGUUGGGCGGGCGGCCCGAA